UAUGUGAUCGUCUCUCGCAUAUCAAUAAGCGGAGGAAAAGAAACUAACAAGGAUUCCCCUAGUAACGGCGAGUGAAGCGGGAAGAGCUCAAAUUUGAAAUCUUAAAGGGUUUCCCUUUACGAAUUGUAGUUUAAAGAAGUGUUUUCUGUUGAGGUUUUGGUAAAAGUUCUUUGGAAUAGGACAUCAUAGAGGGUGAGAAUCCCGUAUUUGACCUUUACUUUCAACUUUGUGAUACACUUUCAAAGAGUCGGAUUGUUUGGGAAUGCAGUCCAAAAUGGGUGGUAAAUUUCAUCUAAAGCUAAAUAUUGGCGAGAGACCGAUAGCGAACAAGUACCGUGAGGGAAAGAUGAAAAGAACUUUGAAAAGAGAGUUAAACAGUACGUGAAAUUGUCAAAAGGGAAGCGUCUGACACCAGUGUUGUAUUUCUGAAAAUCAAUUAAAGAACUGUUUAUGCUAAGCUGUUUAGACUUUAUCAGCUAUCUGUUUAGUUUUGAGCUUUUCUUUAAUGCACUUUUCAGUUAACAAGUCAACAUCAAUUUCUUUUGCUGUAAAAAAGCUUGAGGAAGGUGGCUUGAGAUUCGUCUUAAGUGUUUAUAGCCUCUUGCCUAUGCAGUCGGAGAGAUUGAGGUCUGCAGCGUAGAUCCUUCGGGGCUAAAUGCAUUUGUGCUAAGUUAUAGCAUUUUAUAGACAACUUGUUGACUAUGAUUUGUCUUGUAGCUUACUCGCUUAUGUUAUUUUACCUACGCUUAGGAUGUUGAAGACUCUACAGAGAU
rnacentral:rRNA from 1 species